rnacentral:lncRNA from 1 species
GAAAAUGGGUGACAAGGGUUUAAAACUCGACAUUCAUGUUGUGGCUAUUCUUUAUGCAUAAUUUAUUUCAUGGGGUGUUGUCCAACUUGACUCUUCUUUCUCUUUUUUUUUCUUCACUCAAUUUUUCUUUCUUUGAGUAUCUCAUUAUGGCACGAGUCUUUGACUUAGGCAAGUGCUUUUUAUCUCAUCUCCAUUUUUCAUUUCUUUUCUCUUUUUCUUUUCGGUAGAAGUAUAUGUUUCUACAAACCUUUUUUUUUUCUUUUGUUGCACUUUCCCUUUUUCAAUUUCUAAGGAUCACCGCCCCAAACUUAUCUUCUU